UUAAGUUCAGCGGGUAUUCCUACCUGAUCCGAGGUCAACCUUGUGAUAAUGAGGGUUGGAACGGGGGCCGCGGGGCCGUCAAUGCGUGCUUUAGAAAGCUCGUUGCAUCUGGGGUCCGACACGGCUCCGUCAUUGUCUUUGGGACCCGUCGGGUGACGACGGGGUCCAACAGCAAGCCAGGCUUGACGGUUGAUAAUGAC
rnacentral:misc_RNA from 1 species